CCUACGGGAGGCUGCAGUGAGGAAUAUUGGUCAAUGGGCGCGAGCCUGAACCAGCCAAGUCGCGUGAGGGAAGACGGUCCUAUGGAUUGUAAACCUCUUUUGUCGGGGAGCAAAAGACGCCACGCGUGGCGUUCCGAGAGUACCCGAAGAAAAAGCAUCGGCUAACUCCGUGCCAGCAGCCGCGGUAAUACGGAGGAUGCGAGCGUUAUCCGGAUUUAUUGGGUUUAAAGGGUGCGCAGGCGGAAGAUGAAGUCAGCGGUAAAAUUGAGAGGCUCAACCUCUUCGAGCCGUUGAAACUGGUGUUCUUGAGUGGGCGAGAAGUAUGCGGAAUGCGUGGUGUAGCGGUGAAAUGCAUAGAUAUCACGCAGAACUCCGAUUGCGAAGGCAGCAUACCGGCGCUCAACUGACGCUGAUGCACGAAAGUGUGGGGAUCGAACAGGAUUAGAUACCACAGUAGUC
rnacentral:rRNA from 1 species